UACGAGAGGUCCAAACGUUAUUCGGAAUCACUGGGCUUACAGAGUUCGUAGGCGGCUCUACAAGUGAGGUGUGAAAUCCCGGGGCUCAACCCCGGAACUGCGUCUAAAACUACUUGGCUAGAGUAUUGGAGAGGGUAUCGGAAUUCACGGUGUAGCAGUGAAAUGCGUAGAUAUCGUGAGGAACACCAGAGGCGAAGGCGGAUACCUGGACAAUUACUGACGCUCAGGCACGAAAGCGUGGGGAGCAAAAGGG
rnacentral:rRNA from 1 species